AAGAUGCUAGUACAACCAGAAUACACUGCUUUGUCAAGGCAGAAUUGCGGGUUAACAUCCCCGCGCAUCUUA
rnacentral:tRNA from 1 species